GACAGAGGUGCCAAGCGUUAGGCGGAAUCACUGGGCUUAAAGCGUGUGUAGGCGGAUUGGUAAGUACCUUGUGAAAUCCCACGGCUCAACCGUGGAACUGCUGGAUAUACUGCUUGUCUUGAGGCACUUAGGGGCAGCUGGAACAAAUGGUGGAGCGGUGAAAUGCGUAGAUAUCAUUUGGAACGCCAAAGGCGAAAGCAGGCUGCUGGGAGUGAUCUGACACUGAGACGCGAAAGCCAGGGGAGCAAACGGG
rnacentral:rRNA from 1 species